UGGGGAAUAUUGCACAAUGGCGGGAACUCUGAUGCAGCGACGCCGCGUGAGUGAUGAAGGAAUUCGUUUCGUAAAACUCUGUUCUAUGGGAAGAAAAGGACUGUACCAUAGGAGAAAGCUCCUGCUAAAUACGUGCCAGCAGCCGCGGUAAUACGUAUGGAGCGAGCGUUGUCCGGAAUUAUUGGGCGUAAAGGGUGCGCAGGCGGCUUUACAAGUUGGAUGUGAAAUAUUGUGGCUCAACCACAAACGUGCAUCCAAAACUGCAAAGCUUGAGUUACGGAGAGGUAAGUGGAAUUCCUGGUGUAGCGGUGGAAUGCGUAGAUAUCAGGAGGAAUACCGGUGGCGAAGGCGACUUACUGGACUUAAACUGACGCUCAGGCACGAAAGCGUGGGGAGCAAACAGG
rnacentral:rRNA from 1 species